ensembl:snoRNA
ACCUUGAGUUCAGUUCAGGGCAAGCUUCCCUGUUCAGUUCAUUAGACUUUGGGACAUGACCAGGCUAGGGUAGAUGAUUCCAUAGAAGAUCUCACUCUAUUCAUUGAUCUCCCAGCCUACAAGA